rnacentral:rRNA from 1 species
AGGGAAUAUUGCAAAAUGGGCGAAAGCCCGAUGCAGCAACGCCGCGUGGGCGAUGAAGGCCUUCGAGUCGUAAAGCCCUUUUUGAGGGGAUGAGGAAGGACAGUACCCUCAGAAUAAGCCUCGGCUAACUACGUGCCAGCAGCCGCGGUAAAACGUAGGAGGCGAGCGUUAUCCGGAUUUACUGGGCGUAAAGCGCGUGCAGGCGGAUUGGAGAGUUGGAUGUGAAAGCUCCCGGCUUAACUGGGAGAGGUCGUUCAAUACUUCCAGUCUUGAGUGCAGUAGAGGGAAGUGGAAUUCCGGGUGUAGUGGUGAAAUGCGUAGAUAUCCGGAGGAACACCAGUGGCGAAAGCGGCUUCCUGGACUGUAACUGACGCUCAGACGCGAAAGCUAGGGUAGCAAACG